CGAAAAUGUAAACAAAACAAAAUUCAGUAUCAAUAAUGCAAAUGAAGAUAAAGAAGAAACCAAGGAUAAUAUUGCAAGAAGAAAAGUGGAAGCCCCGAGUAGGAAGCCAGCAACGCCGACAUAUUUAUUCUGGAGUGAAUAGGUACAAAUUGAAGUUAAAAUUACACUUCUCAACAAGACUUUGUUCCUGGCAAUCAAAUCGCUCUAUUCUGAUGGAUUAUAUACUAAUUUUUAACCCUGUAGGAAUGAGAAGGGCCGAUUACAGCGAAGGGAUCGAUGUCGCAGAAGACUGAAAAGCUUUGCUUUGCAACCUAUCUGACAUGCUUCAUUUAUUUGAGAUGGAUAUGCAAGUCGAGAGUUGCUAUGAAAUUGAGGAAUCUCUUGACAUGCUGGUCAUUCAUAACCAAGCCAACUUGAACAAAUACAAGUUGAAUCAAUUGCAGCGUUUGACAGGAGCACAUUCACGUCAUGUGUCACCAUCUGUGCAAUGCAAAGCACUUCUUUCAGCCAGCUACGGAUAGGCGAAAGAUUGCAGUGUAUGCAAGUAAUUCCUCAUGAUGUGAACAAUAGUUAAUUUAAUCUAAAUCAGUUUUUCAAGACAGUACCUACCACCGAGGAUUGGCCAGUUGAUCUGUUUCACUAUUUUUUUUUUUUUGCAGAAAUUCACAUUUGAAUAUCUUCCUUUUACAUUUUUGGGCGUACUCUGUGAUGUAGUUGGUCUCUGGAAGUCAAUUGAAAUACCUUCCUUCAUUUAUGAUUUAUUGCUUUCGAUGCCGUCAACAUUUUCAAUUCAAUUCAAACCCGAAUCCAGAAUUACUCUACCAAUUUAAGCUCUUGAGAUAUUAUUUUGUUUGUAAUUCGAAAGCAAUUAUAUAUAUAUAUACAGAAAAGGCUUUUUGAAGCUAUCAACUUUAUGAAAUAGUUUUAUUUUCAAAAAAAAUGUUUGAUGAUUAUCAAAAUAUAUAAUAUCUUCCUUCAAUAUUUUCUUCCUUUACAAUAUUUUCCUAUUACGAAUUUGUAGUCUUGAGAUUAUAACAUCAUAUAACAUAUAACUAAUAAGAAAUUACAAAAACCAAGUGAAAUAAACAAAAUUAUUUGAACUGGAGCUAAAAGCAAAGAUAAUGUACUUUGUAAAAUCAUCUUGCAGUUUAAAGUUAAGAGAUACGUCAUGCUUUACCGGUUUUAAAAACCGGAUGUAAUAGAAACAUUUUAAGGUGAUGUUCAAAGUCCGGAUAUCUUAAUCCUCUCAAAAAAGAACGAGUUUCUGAUUAAUGCUAUUGACCACAUGAAAUCACAAAGAAAUACAUACGAACGUACUGAAUCAAAACAUAGGAAUAGGAUUAAAAAUAUUAAGUUUUUAAUUUAAACACAUGUCUGA